rnacentral:rRNA from 1 species
ACACGAGUGGCGAACGGGUGAGUAACACGUGGGUAAUCUGCCCUGCACAUCGGGAUAAGCCUGGGAAACUGGGUCUAAUACCGAAUAGGACCACAGAACACAUGUCCUGUGGUGGAAAGCUUUUGCGGUGUGGGAUGGGCCCGCGGCCUAUCAGCUUGUUGGUGGGGUGAUGGCCCACCAAGGCGACGACGGGUAGCCGGCCUGAGAGGGUGUCCGGCCACACUGGGACUGAGAUACGGCCCAGACUCCUACGGGAGGCAGCAGUGGGGAAUAUUGCACAAUGGGCGAAAGCCUGAUGCAGCGACGCCGCGUGGGGGAUGACGGCCUUCGGGUUGUAAACCUCUUUCACCAUCGACGAAGGUUCGGGUUUUCUCGGAUUGACGGUAGGUGGAGAAGAAGCACCGGCCAACUACGUGCCAGCAGCCGCGGUAAUACGUAGGGUGCGAGCGUUGUCCGGAAUUACUGGGCGUAAAGAGCUCGUAGGUGGUUUGUCGCGUUGUUCGUGAAAUCUCACGGCUUAACUGUGAGCGUGCGGGCGAUACGGGCAGACUUGAGUACUGCAGGGGAGACUGGAAUUCCUGGUGUAGCGGUGGAAUGCGCAGAUAUCAGGAGGAACACCGGUGGCGAAGGCGGGUCUCUGGGCAGUAACUGACGCUGAGGAGCGAAAGCGUGGGGAGCGAACAGGAUUAGAUACCCUGGUAGUCCACGCCGUAAACGGUGGGUACUAGGUGUGGGUUUCCUUCCUUGGGAUCCGUGCCGUAGCUAACGCAUUAAGUACCCCGCCUGGGGAGUACGGCCGCAAGGCUAAAACUCAAAGAAAUUGACGGGGGCCCGCACAAGCGGCGGAGCAUGUGGAUUAAUUCGAUGCAACGCGAAGAACCUUACCUGGGUUUGACAUGCACAG